UAAAUGGUGAAGAGUUGGGCUUUGUGCCAACUUCAACCUGAGUGGACUAUUACAGUCAGCCUGGGUCAAGGACCGCCGUGAGCGCAACAAGCAGCAAGCUGCCGCAGCAAGAAGCAAAACCACCCCGAGAAGAAGAAUGCCUCCCCUUCGAGAAAUCUAUGGAGCUGAUGCCUUUCAAGCUAAGAAAAUACCUUGGUGAUCGUAGAGCGUUACUCCCAUGAGAUGUCCCUUCACCUACUGGACAAGACCAAAUUCCUGGUUCCAUUCGAGCUGAACUUGGGUCAGUUCCUCUGUCUACUCAGGAGUAAGAUUGACUUGGAGUCCAUCCAGGCUAUGUAUCUGUUGGUGUCGGGGAGGAGCAUGUCCUGCAUGUCGUCCAGUAUGGGAGAGGUCUACUUCCUGUAACGUCUGCUUCCAACUCACACUCUCAAACAUGUAGAUCCCCUGAAUGCAGCUCACUCUCCAGAUCCCAAUCACCUGAAUUCUGAUUACCUGUUCACACACCUGUAUGUCAUUAUCACUCACUAUUUAGUUCAGUUCUUUGCAACCCAUCACUGUGAGGUAUUGUUUGUUUUGUGGCACACGUCUUUCAGAGCUCUGGUUUUCCCGUAAUUUACUCCUCCCGUGUAUGAUAGAUUUUACCUACCUCACUAAUGACGCCUUAUGCCUAUUCCCUGCCUGUGCUUUAGCCUAUCGGUUUUCCUGUUAUCAACCCAUUGUCUGAUCUCCCGGAUGAUGUUACAAGCCUUUUCCCUGCCUGUACUGUUGCCUUUUUGGACCCCCUGUGUAUGACCUUCUGGCUGUCCCUGGACCCAGCUACCUGCCUCCUCCUGUGGUCCUUUACCAAUAAACACCUGCUGUGCCCUGCGCUUGAAACCAGCUCUCUGUCUCCCAUCAUGUUCAUUACACUCCCAGUACAGCGACCCAGAUGGCGUCCUCUUCAUCACCUACACCUCACAGGACAUGUCCAGAGGGGAUGCGGAUGCUACCCAUCCCCUCUGAGCCCAAACUAUGGGCUCCUUCUUAACUGUCUGAAAAAUCUGUCCUCUCCUUGCUUCCUCUCUUUCCCUGCAGUCCAGGUAAUGAUGAGCUUCCACCAUAUUGUUUUCACCUGUCAAGUCUUUGACGAUGAAGUGACAGUGUAGGGGAGGAAAGGUUGGAUUUUCAAUCAAUUGAGAUUAAACUAUGGGUUCUGUUCUCCCACCCUUCUAUCUGAUGAAUGGCCUGUGAAUCACUGUACUGCACCUCCGUCCUUCUCUUGGUUAGUUUCUGACCACUUCCUGCUCUGCCGGAGUUGGACUGAGAUGAUUGGACUCUGUUUGAUUUAUUGAUUUAUUCAAUGAGAUUUAAGAAAUAGAAAGAAACCUCUAUAAUAACUCUCUACUAAUUGAGCAAAAUAUCAAUAGAGAUCAUUAGCGUAACAGCAGAGAGAAAUAGGAUGAAGAGGGAUGUCCUACCUUGUGGGUACUCACCCUGACAUAAGUGAAAUUCCCUCCUGUUGGGAUUUUGUAUCACCUCCAGGAACCACUGAGGUCUGUUGGGUGCUCUGGGGUCCCUCCCAAAGAAACAUGUUGAAACUUGCAUACUCCUUGUGUCCUUGCUCCUCGUCUCCGUCUCAAAACCCAUUGGAAGAGAAGGUCAGAGGGGAGGGACCUCUGGCUUUAAAAUCAAAUGGGCUUUGAGAAGGAGACGAGGAAAUAGGACGCGAGGAGUAUGCGAUUAAGAUCUUCCCAUAGUCUUGUAUUACAUCUUAGCACUUAGCUCCUUUAAGCUCUUCUUUCUGUCUUCCUCAUAAAACAUUAUCAUUCCUUUCUGUCUUCCUCAUAAAGCAGCAUCAUUCCUUUCUGUAUUCUUCAUGAAACAGCAUCAUUCCUUUCUGUCUUCCUCUGUUAUUACACACGUUACAAGUUCGACAAAGUGUUACAUGUGUUAUUAAAGACUUAGAUGUAUUCAUGUUGUAUAUCUGUGUUCGGUAAAAUCCAAUCUAAUUGAAAUUCCCAAAUAAACUCCCGUCCUUUUAGUGUG